CUCUAGUAGGAGGCCCCAUCACCUCUUGUUGGUCCGUAAGCGGAGGAGCAGUCCUGGAGCAACGGAUUUCCUGAAAUCGGUCGGCUUCAAAGCCAUCUUGGAAUUUCAAAGCGAAAGCAUCUCUGGCCGCCGUAUUUUUCCAGUGCAAUUGGUUCCACCAGCUUCUAGUUCCUUUUAUUUCCCUCAACCUCCUUGCACUAUGUAGAUCAAACGGGAGGUUCAGUAAAUUCGGGCAAUCAAUAACAAGCAUAACCUCAAGGAUUGGAAAGUGCAAGACUUGAGCACAGAUGCACCGCAGACUUGGUAGGUCUCCCAAAUAUAAUUUCUUCAAAUUUGAGAAUAUGCCCAAACGUUGGUCAAGUUCUUUGAUUUCUUCACUUUUGAAAUCAUUGCCUAUAACUUGAAGUAAUGAUCUACAACUACGCAAAUCAAGAGUUUUAAGCCUUGGAGCAAAAAUAAGCCAUGUCAAAUCAUCUAUUGUGGAACAACCCUGUAUCCAUAGACCACGAAUGUUCAAGACGUAGUACUGGUCAUUGUCACUUUCAAAAUGUAAAC
rnacentral:misc_RNA from 1 species